UGGAAAGUUGCAAGAAAUUAGAUUUCAGAGGUAGAGAUGUUUCAACAAAAAUACCCAACAGCUUUAAUUUGGUUUCUGAUAACUGGGCUCUGGAUUUGCAGUUGUUAAGUUUUUCUCUGUUUCUGUUUUCUGUUGCAGAAAGAAAGGGUGCCUUUGAGAGAUUUAUUAUUUCCAUGUCUCUGGAUAUAUUAUAUACAUACAAAUAUGUGCAUAGUUAGCAUGGCUGAUAGAAGUCACCUGUUCACCUCUGGUGUGACCCAUGUGAGGAAUUUUUUUGAAGACAAAAAUUCAAAACACCUUUUCACUUUUGUCUCAGCUGGACCAAGAGAAGAAAGACAUCAACACUUAUCAAAAUCUAAGUUAAGAUUGAAAAAGCACAGAGGCACAGAAGAGCGUAUUAAAGUCUUUCUCCAAUGGGAAGCCUUUUGCUCCAAUUUAUGGUCACGGUCCAAGGCCAGGUCUACCCAGGAGCAGCCAGUUCAUAUUGGUGUAAGAGGGAAGAGUCCAUAUGUGCAAACUCCCAAACCCAAACCUUCAAAAGAAGGUGGCAACCAAUUUUUUUUUGGAGGAAUGAGAUGAUGAGAGGGUCCAUGAAGGUGCCAGGAACCAGGAAUCCUGCCCUGCAUGGGUGUUUGUGGCUCCACAGUCUGGGAGAUGACUUUUGGCAUAAGAGUCAAUUGAAAAACUGGUGAGGCCUUGAAUACAACAUGGACGUGGAACAACAGACUGGUUCCAAAGAGGAAAAGGAGGAUGUCAAGGCUGUAUACUGUCACCCUGCUUAUUUAACUUAUAUGCAGAGUACAUCAUGAGAAAUGCUGGGCUGGAUGAAGCACAAGCUGGAAUCAAGAUUGCCGGUAGAAAUAUCAAUAACCUCAGAUAUGCAGAUGACACCACCCUUAUGCAGAAAGUGAAG
rnacentral:lncRNA from 1 species